rnacentral:rRNA from 1 species
CUGGCGGCGUGCUUAACACAUGCAAGUCGAGCGAAGCGGCUGAAUUGAUUCUUCGGAUGAUUUUCAGUUGACUGAGCGGCGGACGGGUGAGUAACGCGUGGGUGACCUGCCCCAUACCGGGGGAUAACAGCUGGAAACGGCUGCUAAUACCGCAUAAGCGCACAGAGCUGCAUGGCUCGGUGUGAAAAACUCCGGUGGUAUGGGAUGGGCCCGCGUCUGAUUAGGCAGUUGGCGGGGUAACGGCCCACCAAACCGACGAUCAGUAGCCGGCCUGAGAGGGCGACCGGCCACAUUGGGACUGAGACACGGCCCAAACUCCUACGGGAGGCAGCAGUGGGGAAUAUUGCACAAUGGGGGAAGCCCUGAUGCAGCGACGCCGCGUGAGCGAAGAAGUAUUUCGGUAUGUAAAGCUCUAUCAGCAGGGAAGAUAAUGACGGUACCUGACUAAGAAGCCCCGGCUAACUACGUGCCAGCAGCCGCGGUAAUACGUAGGGGGCAAGCGUUAUCCGGAUUUACUGGGUGUAAAGGGAGCGUAGACGGCAAGGCAAGUCUGAUGUGAAAACCCAGGGCUUAACCCUGGGACUGCAUUGGAAACUGUCUGGCUCGAGUGCCGGAGAGGUAAGCGGAAUUCCUAGUGUAGCGGUGAAAUGCGUAGAUAUUAGGAAGAACACCAGUGGCGAAGGCGGCUUACUGGACGGUAACUGACGUUGAGGCUCGAAA